UGAAACUUGACACGUGAGAGUCACACGUUCGAAAUUCUCAACAGAAUCUCGAUGUUAGGGUUUUGCUUUCUCAAGUUUUCAACAGAAUCUCGAUGUUAGGGUUUUGCUUUUUCAAUUCGAGAAACUAGUUAGCGUAAGGUCGUUCAUUCACCUCGAUCGUUUCCCUCAAUGCUCGAGGAUUCUGAAAGAGGCUUCGGUUCAGAUUGCUUCCCAACAACAUCGCAACUCACUCGGACACAAAAAAUAAGGAUUUGUCAACAUAAAAUGGAUGAUUGUUUGGGAACCUCAUCUUUAGAAGGCCAUAACUAUGAUUCUUUCUACUGCUAAUGAUUCCAAAUGGCAAACUAGAUCUGCAUGCUUUCUUGUACAGGUCUGAGAACAUGCUGCAGCAGUUUUAACAGGAUUAAUGAAGGGUGGAGGUGAAGAUCUGGCUAAAGAUUUCCGCGAUGCGAUCGAGCUUAUGUUGAGGCAACUAUUGUACAAAAGAGAAUAAACUCAAGUGCUGACUAAAUAGAGCGAGCUUGGCAGAUCGUGGAUCAGAUUCCUGGGAGAGCAACUGGUGCCUAUAGUCAUAGUCUUAUGGGGUUGUCUAAUUUGGUUUAUUUGAUUAUCAUCCCUUCACUGGACACUGGAUGAGCCUUGAAAUUGUUCUUUUUUCCACAUCAGGGUUUGCACGAUAUAAUAGCUGUUAGAAUUGGAGAGGGUGGUGGUUUUUUUUGCUAUUGCCAAUGACAUUUUCUUGACAGAAGGUGCAAGCCUAGCAGUACGUAUCUACUUUGCUUUUGAUAAUUGUUUGCUUUUUGUUUUGUUAAGAUUUAAAAUCUAUCACAACCUUUACCAGUAGUGCACUAGAGAAAAAGGGAAAUUAAAAAAAUAGAUAAAACUCACACAACCACAUAUAUGAUUAAAUGAAAUUAUCGUAAUGUACAAGGCAUGUUGCAUAGAUUAAACAAUUGUUGUAACGUACAAGGCAUGUUGCAUUAAGCCAAAUAAUAAUAUAGACACAGAAUAUCUAAAGUCUUUGUUUUCUUU